CGGGAAAUCCACUCGCCUAACGAGUGGGCGUCAGGCGGAAACUACAGGGCUUGGGACCGGAAGACUUGAGGGGUACGUCUGGGGUAGGAGUGAAAUCCUGUAAUCCUGGACGGACCGCCGAUGGCGAAAGCACCUCAAGACGACGGAUCCGACAGUGAGGGACGAAAGCUAGGGUCUCGAACCGGAUUAGAUACCCGGGU
rnacentral:rRNA from 1 species